rnacentral:rRNA from 1 species
CCCUUAGAUGUUCUGGGCCGCACGCGCGCUACACUGAUGAACGCAACGAGACCACCUGUACCGAAAGGCAUGGGUAAACUUGUGAAAGUUCAUCGUGAUGGGGAUAGAUUAUUGCAAUUAUUAAUCUUCAACGAGGAAUUCCUAGUAAGCGCGAGUCAUCAGCUCGCGUUGAUUACGUCCCUGCCCUUUGUACACACCGCCCGUCGCUCCUACCGAUUGAAUGGUCCGGUGAAAUCUUCGGAUUGCUGGAUAGGACUUCAUUGAUCUAUCUGCGAGAAGUUGCUUGAACCUUAUCAUUUAGAGGAAGGAGAAGUCGUAACA